rnacentral:rRNA from 1 species
GACGAACGCUGGCGGCGUGCCUAAUACAUGCAAGUCGAGCGGGCCUCCGGAGGUGCUUGCACCUCCGGAAGGCCAGCGGCGGACGGGUGAGUAACACGUGGGCAACCUGCCUUUGAGGCCGGGAUAACACCGGGAAACCGGUGCUAAUACCGGAUACGUCCUCUUUCGCGCCUGCGAGCGGGGAGAAAGACGGUCUUUAAGGCCGUCGCUCAAAGAGGCGCCCGCGGCGCAUUAGCUGGUUGGUGGGGUAAGGGCCUACCAAGGCGACGAUGCGUUGCCGACCUGAGAGGGUGAUCGGCCACACUGGGACUGAGACACGGCCCAGACUCCUGCGGGAGGCAGCAGUAGGGAAUCAUCCGCAAUGGGCGAAAGCCUGACGGUGCAACGCCGCGUGAGUGAGGAAGGUUUUCGGAUCGUAAAGCUCUGUUGUGAGGGAAGAACAGCUUCCGGAGGAAAUGCCGGAGGUUUGCCGGUACCUCACCAGAAAGCCCCGGCUAACUACGUGCCAGCCGCCGCCGUAAAAC